CGGGGUGCACCAGGCGCGAAAACUUUACAAUGCCGGCAACGGCGAUAAGGGAACCUCGAGUGCCAGGUUACAAAUCUGGCCGUCGUGAUGCCUAAAAAGCAUUGCAUAGCAAGGGCCGGGCAAGACCGGUGCCAGCCGCCGCGGUAACACCGGCGGCUCGAGUGGUAACCGUUAUUAUUGGGUCUAAAGGGUCUGUAGCCGGCCGGGUAAGUCUCUUGGGAAAUCUGGCAGCUUAACUGUCAGGCUUUCAGGAGAUACUGCCUGGCUCGAGGCCGGGAGAGGUGAGAGGUACUUCAGGGGUAGGGGUGGAAUCUUGUAAUCCUUGAAGGACCACCAGUGGCGAAGGCGUCUCACCAGAACGGACCUGACGGCAAGGGACGAAAGCUAGGGGCACGAACCGGAUUAGAUACCCGGGUAGUCCUAGCCGUAAACGAUACUCGCUAGGUGUCGGCCACGGUGCGACCGUGGUCGGUGCCGUAGGGAAGCCGUGAAGCGAGCCACCUGGGAAGUACGGCCGCAAGGCUGAAACUUAAAGGAAUUGGCGGGGGAGCACAAGGGCGAAUCGCG
rnacentral:rRNA from 1 species